rnacentral:rRNA from 1 species
UACGGGGGGGGCAAGCGUUGUCCGGACUUACUGGGCGUAAAGGGUGCGUAGGCGGCCUGCUGCGUCGGUGCUGAAAGCGCCCGGCUUAACCGGGCGAGGCGUGCCGAUACGAGCGGGCUGGAGCCUUGGCGAGGGUGGCGGAACUCCUGGUGUAGUGGUGAAAUGCGUAGAGAUCAGGAAGAACACCCGUGGCGCAAGCGGCCACCUGGCCAAGAGCUGACGCUGAGGCACGAGAGCGUGGGGAGCGAACCGG